AUGGUGUCCCCCAAGGUGAUCCACGUGGAGGCCCACGAGUUCAUGUCGCUCGUGCAGCGGCUCACCGGCCCGGAGGUCGCCGGGGAGGACGGGCGGGAGAGGGCGUCGACGUCGUCGUCCUCCCCCAGGAUCGCGGGGGACAGGGCUGGGAGGGCGGCGCAGCCGGUGCGCGUCAAGGCCCGCGCCCUGAACCGGCCCGGCCCCGCGGUGUCCGUCUCGGUGACGGCCACGAGGCAGCAGCAGCAGCAGAACGUGCCGCCAUCGUGGGCGGGGCCGUCGCCGUCGCCGACGACGGGGUUCCUGUUCCACGACCUCAGCCCGCUCCGCGGCGGGGCGCUCAAGGGCGAGGCGCCCAUGGUCUCCCCGUGGCUGCACCAGACCAGCGACCAUUUCUUGAGCCCCGGCGGCGCGUCGGCGCUCGGCUCGCCGUCCGGCUUCCUCGACAUCUUCGGGCCGCUCUCGUCUCAGCAGCAAUGA
rnacentral:rRNA from 1 species